rnacentral:rRNA from 1 species
AUUGAACGCUGGCGGCAUGCCUAACACAUGCAAGUCGAACGGCAGCACAAUAAAGAUUUCGGUCUUUAUGGGUGGCGAGUGGCGGACGGGUGAGUAACGCGUAGGAAUCUGUCCUGGAGAGUGGGAUAACCCGAGGAAACUCGGGCUAAUACUGCAUGACAUUGAGAGAUCAAAAGCAGGGGACCGAAAGGCCUUGCGCUCUGGGGUGAGCCUACGUCGGAUUAGCUAGUUGGUGGGGUAAAGGCCUACCAAGGCAACGAUCCGUAGCUGGUCUGAGAGGAUGCCCAGCCACACUGGGACUGAGACACGGCCCAGACUCCUACGGGAGGCAGCAGUGGGGAAUCUUGGACAAUGGGGGAAACCCUGAUCCAGCGAUGCCGCGUGUGUGAAGAAGGCCUUCGGGUUGUAAAGCACUUUAGGUGGGGAAGAAAGGUAGCGAGUGAAUAACUUUCUGCUGUGACGGUACCCACAGAAUAAGCACCGGCUAACUCUGUGCCAGCCGCCGCGGUAA